GACGAACGCUGGCGGCGUGCCUAAUACAUGCCAGUAGAACGCACAGUUUAUACCGUAGCUUGCUACACCAUAAACUGUGAGUUGCGAAUGGGUGAGUAACGCGUAAGUAACCUGCCUGGUAUCGGUGGGUAACUAUUGGAAACGAUAGCUAAUACCUCAUAAUAUUCAUUAUUGCAUGAUAAUUGAUUGAAAUAUGCUAUUGCAUCACUACCAGCUGGACCUGGGUUCUAUUAGCUAGUAGGUGAGGUAACGGCUCACCUAGGCGAAGAUUCAUAGCCGAACUGGAGGGGGGGGCGGCCAAACCGGGAAUGGGAACACGCCCAGACCUCUAAGGGAGGGAGCAGGAGGGGAUCUUUGGGAAUGGAGGGAAGGCUGAACGGGCAACGCCGGGUGAGGGAAGAAGGGUCUCGGAUCGGAAAGCUCUGUUGUAAGAGAAGAAAGGGUGUGAGAGUGGAAAGUUCACACUGUGACGGUAUCUUAUCAGAAAGGGACGGCUAACUACGUG
rnacentral:rRNA from 1 species